rnacentral:lncRNA from 1 species
UGAGAGCCUAUGGGAGCCGUGGGAAGUGUCACGUUACCGCAGAGAUCCUUUGUUUUGGAAAGAGAUGUCAAAGAAAGCCAAUAAAUAGUCAGACAGGCCACUUCCUGUAAAGGAAUCUCUCAGGUUUUUGCCUGCCAUAUGAGUUCUGUUAUACUCACAGACACCAUUCAAACAGUUUUAGAAACUUUAGUGUGUUUUCUAUCCAUAUCUAAUAAGUAUAUGCAUAUUCUAGUUACUGGGUAGGAGUAGUAACCAGAUUAAAUCGGGUACGUUUUUUAUCCGGCGGUGUAAAUACUGCCCCCUAGCCCUAAGAGGAUAACAUAAAUCUUCAGGGCGUUUUUCAACAAGAGAGCCAAUAAGAUUCGAGGGGGACGAUUGCAGUGUGUUUCAAAACGUUUCGAAAGGGGAGGGUAACCAGGGACGCCGGCAUUCCCCAUGCGGGGGGGCUGGCAGCACUAGCUCACUAUUUGGGAGACAGAGAUACUAAUGAAUAUCCACCAACAAACUUUAUUUUAGAGCUGGCAGAAUAUGUUUUGAAGUAUAACUAUUUUAGGUUUGAUGAUGAAUACUACCUCCAAACGAAUGGAACGUCGAUGGGCUCCACAUUCGAUCCGAGUUAUGCUAACCUUUAUGUGGGUCUAUUUGAAGAACGUUUUGUCAAUAACAAAAAACGAAAAUCCAUUUUUGAAUAAAAUCCUGAAGUGGUAUCGAUAUAUUGACAAAAAUUUUUGCAUAUGGGAAGGAACUGAACAAGAGCUGUCAGAUAGGGUAGGAAACAGACAGUGGGUUAGGGUAGGAAACAGACAGACAGUGAAUUAGGGUAUGAAACAGACAGACAUUUAGUUAGGGUAUGAAACAGACAGACAGUGAGUUAGGGUAGGAAACAGACAGACAGUGGGUUAGGGUAUGAUACAGACAGACAGUGAGUUAGGGUAUGAUACAGACAGACAGCGGGUUAGGGUAUGAAACAGACAGACAGUGGGUUAGGGUAUGAAACAGACAGACAGUGAGUUAGGGUAGGAAACAGACAGACAGUGGGUUAGGGUAUGAUACAGACAGACAGUGAGUUAGGGUAUGAAACAGACAGACAGUGAGUUAGGGUAGGACAGACAGUGGGUUACGGUAGGAAACAGACAGACAGUGGGUUAGGGUAGGAAACAGACAUUGGGUUAGGGUAGGAAACAGACAGACAGUGGGUUAGGGUAUGAAACAGACAGACAGUGAGUUAGGGUAGGAAACAGACAGUGGGUUAGGGUAGGAAACAGACAGACAGUGGGUUAGGGUAGGAAACAGACAGACAGUGUGUUAGGGUAGGAAACAGACAGUGUGUUAGGGUAGGAGACAGACAGACAGUGGGUUAGGGUAUGAAACAGACAGACAGUGGGUUAGGGUAAGAAAUAGACAGACAGUGGUUUAGGGUAUGAAACAGACAGACAGUGGGUUAGGGUAGGAAACAGACAGUGGGUUAGGGUAGGAAACAGACAGACAGUGGGUUAGGGUAGGAAACAGACAGUGGGUUAGGGUAUGAAACAGACAGACAGUGGGUUAGGGUAGGACACAGACAGUGAGUUAGGGUAUGAAAUAGACAGACAGUGGGUUAGGGUAGGAAAUAGACAGUGGGAUAGGGUAGGAAACAGACAGUGGGUUAGGGUAGGAAACAGACAGACAGUGGGUUAGGGUAUGAAACAGACAGACAGUGGGUUAGGGUAGGAAAUAGACAGUGGGUUAGGGUAGUACACAGACAGACUGAGGGUUAGGGUAGAAGGCAGACAGUGGGUCAGGGUAUGAAACAGACAGACAGUGGGUUAGGUAAGGAAACAGACAGACAGUGGUUUGGGUAUGAAACAGACAGACAGUGGGUUAGGGUAGGAAACAGACAGACAGUGGGUUAGGGUAUGAAACAGACAGACAGUGGGAUAGGGUAGGACGCAGACAGUGUGUUAGGGUAUGAAACAGACAGACAGUGGGUUAGGUAAGGAAACAGACAGACAGUGGUUUGGGUAUGAAACAGACAGACAGUGUGUUAGGGUAGGAAACAGACAGACAGUGGGUUAGGGUAGGAAACAGACAGUGGGUUAGGGUAUGAAACAGACAGACAGUGGGAUAGGGUAGGACGCAGACAGUGUGUUAGGGUAUGCAAUAGACAGACAGUGGGUUAGGGUAUGAAACAGACAGACAGUGGGUUAGGGUAGGAAAUAGACAGUGGGAUAGGGUAGGAAAGAGACAGUGGGUUAGGGUAGGAAACAGACAGACAGUGGGUUAGGGUAGGAAACAGACAGUGGGUUAGGGUAAGACACAGACAGACAGUGGGUUAGGGUAGGAAACAGACAGUGGGUUAGGGUAGGAAACAGACAGACAGUGGGUUAGGGUAGGAAACAGACAGUGGGUUAGGGUAUGAAACAGACAGACAGUGGGUUAGGGUAGGACACAGACAGUGAGUUAGGGUAUGAAAUAGACAGACAGUGGGUUAGGGUAGGAAACAGACAGACAGUGGGUUAGGGUAGGAAACAGACAGUGGGUUAGGGUAUGAAACAGACAGACAGUGGGAUAGGGUAGGACGCAGACAGUGUGUUAGGGUAUGCAAUAGACAGACAGUGGGUUAGGGUAUGAAACAGACAGACAGUGGGUUAGGGUAGGAAAUAGACAGUGGGAUAGGGUAGGAAAGAGACAGUGGGUUAAGGUAGGAAACAGACAGACAGUGGGUUAGGGUAUGAAACAGACAGACAGUGGGUCAGGGUAGGAAAUAGACAGUGGGUUAGGGUAAGACACAGACAGACAGUGGGUCAGGGUAGGAAACAGACAGUGGGUUAGGGUAGGAAACAGACAGACAGUGGGUUAGGGUAGGAAACAGACAGUGUGUUAGGGUAUGAAACAGACAGACAGUGGGUUAGGGUAGGACACAGACAGUGGGUUAGGGUAGGAUAUAGACAGUGGGAUAGGGUAGGAAACAGACAGUGGGUUAGGGUAGGAAACAGACAGACAGUGGGUUAGGGUAUGAAACAGACAGACAGUGGGUUAGGGUAGGAAAUAGACAGUGGGUUAGGGUAGGACACAGACAGACUGUGGGUUAGGGUAGAAGACAGACAGUGGGUCAGGGUAUGAAACAGACAGACAGUGGGUUAGGUAAGGAAACAGACAGACAGUGGUUUGGGUAUGAAACAGACAGACAGUGGGUUAGGGUAGGAAACAGACAGACAGUGGGUUAGGGUAGGAAACAGACAGUGGGUUAGGGUAUGAAACAGACAGACAGUGGGAUAGGGUAGGACGCAGACAGUGUGUUAGGGUAUGAAACAGACAGACAGUGGGUUAGGGUAGGAAACAGACAGACAGUGGGUUAGGGUAGGAAAUAGACAGUGGGUUAGGGUAAGACACAGACAGACAGUGGGUUAGGGUAGGAAACAGACAGUGGGUUAGGGUAGGAAACAGACAGACAGUGGGUUAGGGUAGGAAACAGACAGUGGGUUAGGGUAUGAAACAGACAGACAGUGGGUUAGGGUAGGACACAGACAGUGAGUUAGGGUAUGAAAUAGACAGACAGUGGGUUAGGGUAUGAAACAGACAGACAGUGGGUUAGGGUAGGAAAUAGACAGUGGGAUAGGGUAGGAAACAGACAGUGGGUUAGGGUAGGAAACAGACAGACAGUGGGUUAGGGUAUGAAACAGACAGACAGUGUGUUAGGGUAGGAAAUAGACAGUGGGUUAGGGUAGGACACAGACAGACUGUGGGUUAGGGUAGAAGACAGACAGUGGGUCAGGGUAUGAAACAGACAGACAGUGGGUUAGGUAAGGAAACAGACAGACAGUGGUUUGGGUAUGAAACAGACAGACAGUGGGUUAGGGUAGGAAACAGACAGACAGUGGGUUAGGGUAGGAAACAGACAGUGGGUUAGGGUAUGAAACAGACAGACAGUGGGAUAGGGUAGGACGCAGACAGUGUGUUAGGGUAUGAAACAGACUGACAGUGGGUUAGGUAAGGAAACAGACAGACAGUGGUUUGGGUAUGAAACAGACAGACAGUGCGUUAGGGUAGGAAACAGACAGACAGUGGGUUAGGGUAGGAAACAGACAGUGGUUUAGGGUAUGAAACAGACAGACAGUGGGAUAGGGUAGGACGCAGACAGUGUGUUAGGGUAUGCAAUAGACAGACAGUGGGUUAGGGUAUGAAACAGACAGACAGUGGGUUAGGGUAGGAAAUAGACAGUGGGAUAGGGUAGGAAAGAGACAGUGGGUUAGGGUAGGAAACAGACAGACAGUGGGUUAGGGUAGGAAACAGACAGUGGGUUAGGGUAAGACACAGACAGACUGUGGGUUAGGGUAGGAAACAGACAGUGGGUCAGGUUAUGAAACAGACAGACAGUGAGUUAGGGUAGGACAAACAGUGGGUUAGGGUAGGAAACAGACAGACAGUGGGUUAGGGUAGGAAACAGACAGACAGUGUGUCAGGGUAGGAGACAGACAGUGGGUUAGGGUAUGAAACAGACAGACAGUGAAUUAGGGUAUGAAACAGACAGACAUUGAGUUAGGGUAUGAAACAGACAGACAGUGAGUUAGGGUAGGAAACAGACAGACAGUGUGUUAGGGUAUGAUACAGACAGACAGUGAGUUAGGGUAUGAUACAGACAGACAGCGGGUUAGGGUAUGAAACAGACAGACAGUGGGUUAGGGUAUGAAACAGACAGACAGUGAGUUAGGGUAGGAAACAGACAGACAGUGGGUUAGGGUAUGAUACAGACAGACAGUGAGUUAGGGUAUGAUACAGACAGACAGUGGGUUAGGGUAUGAAACAGACAGACAGUGAGUUAGGGUAGGACAGACAGUGGGUUAGGGUAGGAAACAGACAGACAGUGGGUUAGGGUAGGAAACAGACAGUGUGUUAGGGUAGGAAACAGACAGACAGUGGGUUAGGGUAUGAAACAGACAGACAGUGAGUUAGGGUAGGAAACAGACAGUGGGUUAGGGUAGGAAACAGACAGACAGUGGGUUAGGGUAGGAAACAGACAGACAGUGUGUUAGGGUAGGAAACAGACAGUGUGUUAGGGUAGGAGACAGACAGACAGUGGGUUAGGGUAUAAAACAGACAGACAGUGGGUUAGGGUAAGAAAUAGACAGACAGUGGUUUAGGGUAUGAAACAGACAGACAGUGGGUUAGGGUAGGAAACAGACAGUGGGUUAGGGUAGGAAACAGACAGACAGUGGGUUAGGGUAGGAAACAGACAGUGGGUUAGGGUAGGAAACAGACAGACAGUGGGUUAGGGUAGGACACAGACAGUGAGUUAGGGUAUGAAAUAGACAGACAGUGGGUUAGGGUAUGAAACAGACAGACAGUGGGUUAGGGUAGGAAAUAGACAGUGGGAUAGGGUAGGAAACAGACAGUGGGUUAGGGUAGGAAACAGACAGACAGUGGGUUAGGGUAUGAAACAGACAGACAGUGGGUUAGGGUAGUACACAGACAGACUGUGGGUUAGGGUAGAAGACAGACAGUGGGUCAGGGUAUGAAACAGACAGACAGUGGGUUAGGUAAGGAAACAGACAGACAGUGGUUUGGGUAUGAAACAGACAGACAGUGGGUUAGGGUAGGAAACAGACAGACAGUGGGUUAGGGUAGGAAACAGACAGUGGGUUAGGGUAUGAAACAGACAGACAGUGGGAUAGGGUAGGACGCAGACAGUGUGUUAGGGUAUGAAACAGACAGACAGUGGAUUAGGUAAGGAAACAGACAGACAGUGGUUUGGGUAUGAAACAGACAGACAGUGCGUUAGGGUAGGAAACAGACAGACAGUGGGUUAGGGUAGGAAACAGACAGUGGGUUAGGGUAUGAAACAGACAGACAGUGGGAUAGGGUAGGACGCAGACAGUGUGUUAGGGUAUGCAAUAGACAGACAGUGGGUUAGGGUAUGAAACAGACAGACAGUGGGUUAGGGUAGGAAACAGACAGUGGGAUAGGGUAGGAAAGAGACAGUGGGUUAGGGUAGGAAACAGACAGACAGUGGGUUAGGGUAUGAAACAGACAGACAGUGGGUUAGGGUAGGAAAUAGACAGUGGGUUAGGGUAAGACACAGACAGACAGUGGGUUAGGGUAGGAAACAGACAGUGGGUUAGGGUAGGAAACAGACAGACAGUGGGUUAGGGUAGGAAACAGACAGUGGGUUAGGGUAUGAAACAGACAGACAGUGGGUUAGGGUAGGAAAUAGACAGUGGGAUAGGGUAGGAAACAGACAGUGGGUUAGGGUAGGAAACAGACAGACAGUGGGUUAGGGUAUGAAACAGACAGACAGUGGGUUAGGGUAGGAAAUAGACAGUGGGUUAGGGUAGGACACAGACAGACUGUGGGUUAGGGUAGAAGACAGACAGUGGGUCAGGGUAUGAAACAGACAGACAGUGGGUUAGGUAAGGAAACAGACAGACAGUGGUUUGGGUAUGAAACAGACAGACAGUGGGUUAGGGUAGGAAACAGACAGACAGUGGGUUAGGGUAGGAAACAGACAGUGGGUUAGGGUAUGAAACAGACAGACAGUGGGAUAGGGUAGGACACAGACAGUGUGUUAGGGUAUGCAAUAGACAGACAGUGGGUUAGGGUAUGAAACAGACAGACAGUGGGUUAGGGUAGGAAAUAGACAGUGGGAUAGGGUAGGAAAGAGACAGUGGGUUAGGGUAGGAAACAGACAGACAGUGGGUUAGGGUAUGAAACAGACAGACAGUGGGUUAGGGUAGGAAAUAGACAGUGGGUUAGGGUAAGACACAGACAGACAGUGGGUUAGGGUAGGAACAGACAGACAGUGGGUUAGGGUAGGAAACAGACAGUGUGUUAGGGUAGGAAACAGACAGACAGUGGGUUAGGGUAUGAAACAGACAGACAGUGAGUUAGGGUAGGAAACAGACAGUGGGUUAGGGUAGGAAACAGACAGACAGUGGGUUAGGGUAGGAAACAGACAGACAGUGUGUUAGGGUAGGAAACAGACAGUGGGUUAGGGUAGGAAACAGACAGACAGUGGGUUAGGGUAUGAAACAGACAGACAGUGGGUUAGGGUAAGAAAUAGACAGACAGUGGGUUAGGGUAUGAAACAGACAGACAGUGGGUUAGGGUAGGAAACAGACAGUGGGUUAGGGUAGGAAACAGACAGACAGUGGGUUAGGGUAGGAAACAGACAGUGGGUUAGGGUAGGAAACAGACAGACAGUGGGUUAGGGUAGGACACAGACAGUGAGUUAGGGUAUGAAAUAGACAGACAGUGGGUUAGGGUAUGAAACAGACAGACAGUGGGUUAGGGUAGGAAAUAGACAGUGGGAUAGGGUAGGAAACAGACAGUGGGUUAGGGUAGGAAACAGACAGACAGUGGGUUAGGGUAUGAAACAGACAGACAGUGGGUUAGGGUAAGACACAGACAGACUGUGGGUUAGGGUAGGAAACAGACAGUGGGUCAGGGUAUGAAACAGACAGACAGUGGGUUAGGUAAGGAAACAGACAGACAGUGGUUUGGGUAUGAAACUGACAGACAGUGUGUUAGGGUAGGAAACAGACAGACAGUGGGUUAGGGUAGGAAACAGACAGUGGGUUAGGGUAUGAAACAGACAGACAGUGGGAUAGGGUAGGACGCAGACAGUGUGUUAGGGUAUGCAAUAGACAGACAGUGGGUUAGGGUAUGAAACAGACAGACAGUGGGUUAGGGUAGGAAAUAGACAGUGGGAUAGGGUAGGAAAGAGACAGUGGGUUAGGGUAGGAAACAGACAGACAGUGGGUUAGGGUAUGAAACAGACAGACAGUGGGUUAGGGUAGGAAAUAGACAGUGGGUUAGGGUAAGACACAGACAGACAGUGGGUUAGGGUAGGAAACAGACAGUGGGUUAGGGUAUGAAACAGACAGACAGUGGGAUAGGGUAGGACGCAGACAGUGUGUUAGGGUAUGAAACAGACUGACAGUGGGUUAGGUAAGGAAACAGACAGACAGUGGUUUGGGUAUGAAACAGACAGACAGUGCGUUAGGGUAGGAAACAGACAGACAGUGGGUUAGGGUAGGAAACAGACAGUGGUUUAGGGUAUGAAACAGACAGACAGUGGGAUAGGGUAGGACGCAGACAGUGUGUUAGGGUAUGCAAUAGACAGACAGUGGGUUAGGGUAUGAAACAGACAGACAGUGGGUUAGGGUAGGAAAUAGACAGUGGGAUAGGGUAGGAAAGAGACAGUGGGUUAGGGUAGGAAACAGACAGACAGUGGGUUAGGGUAGGAAAUAGACAGUGGGUUAGGGUAAGACACAGACAGACUGUGGGUUAGGGUAGGAAACAGACAGUGGGUCAGGUUAUGAAACAGACAGACAGUGAGUUAGGGUAGGACAAACAGUGGGUUAGGGUAGGAAACAGACAGACAGUGGGUUAGGGUAGGAAACAGACAGACAGUGUGUCAGGGUAGGAAACAGACAGUGGGUUAGGGUAUGAAACAGACAGACAGUGAAUUAGGGUAUGAAACAGACAGACAUUUAGUUAGGGUAUGAAACAGACAGACAGUGAGUUAGGGUAGGAAACAGACAGACAGUGGGUUAGGGUAUGAUACAGACAGACAGUGAGUUAGGGUAUGAUACAGACAGACAGUGGGUUAGGGUAUGAAACAGACAGACAGUGGGUUAGGGUAUGAAACAGACAGACAGUGAGUUAGGGUAGGAAACAGACAGACAGUGGGUUAGGGUAUGAUACAGACAGACAGUGAGUUAGGGUAUGAUACAGACAGACAGUGGGUUAGGGUAUGAAACAGACAGACAGUGAGUUAGGGUAGGACAGACAGUGGGUUAGGGUAGGAAACAGACAGACAGUGGGUUAGGGUAGGAAACAGACAGUGUGUUAGGGUAGGAAACAGACAGACAGUGGGUUAGGGUAUGAAACAGACAGACAGUGAGUUAGGGUAGGAAACAGACAGUGGGUUAGGGUAGGAAACAGACAGACAGUGGCUUAGGGUAGGAAACAGACAGACAGUGUGUUAGGGUAGGAAACAGACAGUGUGUUAGGGUAGGAGACAGACAGACAGUGGGUUAGGGUAUAAAACAGACAGACAGUGGGUUAGGGUAUGAAACAGACAGACAGUGGGUUAGGGUAUGAAACAGACAGACAGUGGGUUAGGGUAGGAAACAGACAGUGGGUUAGGGUAGGAAACAGACAGACAGUGGGUUAGGGUAGGAAACAGACAGUGGGUUAGGGUAGGAAACAGACAGACAGUGGGUUAGGGUAGGACACAGACAGUGAGUUAGGGUAUGAAAUAGACAGACAGUGGGUUAGGGUAUGAAACAGACAGACAGUGGGUUAGGGUAGGAAAUAGACAGUGGGAUAGGGUAGGAAACAGACAGUGGGUUAGGGUAGGAAACAGACAGACAGUGGGUUAGGGUAUGAAACAGACAGACAGUGGGUUAGGGUAGGACACAGACAGACUGUGGGUUAGGGUAGAAGACAGACAGUGGGUCAGGGUAUGAAACAGACAGACAGUGGGUUAGGUAAGGAAACAGACAGACAGUGGUUUGGGUAUGAAACAGACAGACAGUGGGUUAGGGUAGGAAACAGACAGACAGUGGGUUAGGGUAGGAAACAGACAGUGGGUUAGGGUAUGAAACAGACAGACAGUGGGAUAGGGUAGGACGCAGACAGUGGGUCAGGGUAUGAAACAGACAGACAGUGGGUUAGGUAAGGAAACAGACAGACAGUGGUUUGGGUAUGAAACAGACAGACAGUGGGUUAGGGUAGGAAACAGACAGACAGUGGGUUAGGAUAGGAAACAGACAGUGGGUUAGGGUAUGAAACAGACAGACAGUGGGAUAGGGUAGGACGCAGACAGUGUGUUAGGGUAUGCAAUAGACAGACAGUGGGUUAGGGUAUGAAACAGACAGACAGUGGGUUAGGGUAGGAAAUAGACAGUGGGAUAGGGUAGGAAAGAGACAGUGGGUUAGGGUAGGAAACAGACAGACAGUGGGUUAGGGUAUGAAACAGACAGACAGUGGGUUAGGGUAGGAAAUAGACAGUGGGUUAGGGUAAGACACAGACAGACAGUGGGUUAGGGUAGGAAACAGACAGUGGGUUAGGGUAGGAAACAGACAGACAGUGGGUUAGGGUAGGAAACAGACAGUGGGUUAGGGUAUGAAACAGACAGACAGUGGGUUAGGGUAGGACACAGACAGUGAGUUAGGGUAUGAAAUAGACAGACAGUGGGUUAGGGUAUGAAACAGACAGACAGUGGGUUAGGGUAGGAAAUAGACAGUGGGAUAGGGUAGGAAACAGACAGUGGGUUAGGGUAGGAAACAGACAGACAGUGGGUUAGGGUAUGAAACAGACAGACAGUGGGUUAGGGUAGGAAAUAGACAGUGGGUUAGGGUAGGACACAGACAGACUGUGGGUUAGGGUAGAAGACAGACAGUGGGUCAGGGUAUGAAACAGACAGACAGUGGGUUAGGUAAGGAAACAGACAGACAGUGGUUUGGGUAUGAAACAGACAGACAGUGGGUUAGGGUAGGAAACAGACAGACAGUGGGUUAGGGUAGGAAACAGACAGUGGGUUAGGGUAUGAAACAGACAGACAGUGGGAUAGGGUAGGACGCAGACAGUGUGUUAGGGUAUGAAACAGACAGACAGUGGGUUAGGUAAGGAAACAGACAGACAGUGGUUUGGGUAUGAAACAGACAGACAGUGCGUUAGGGUAGGAAACAGACAGACAGUGGGUUAGGGUAGGAAACAGACAGUGGGUUAGGGUAUGAAACAGACAGACAGUGGGAUAGGGUAGGACGCAGACAGUGUGUUAGGGUAUGCAAUAGACAGACAGUGGGUUAGGGUAUGAAACAGACAGACAGUGGGUUAGGGUAGGAAAUAGACAGUGGGAUAGGGUAGGAACAGACAGACAGUGGGUUAGGGUAUGAAACAGACAGACAGUGGGUUAGGGUAGGAAAUAGACAGUGGGUUAGGGUAAGACACAGACAGACAGUGGGUUAGGGUAGGAAACAGACAGUGGGUUAGGGUAGGAAACAGACAGACAGUGGGUUAGGGUAGGAAACAGACAGUGGGUUAGGGUAUGAAACAGACAGACAGUGGGUUAGGGUAGGACACAGACAGUGAGUUAGGGUAUGAAAUAGACAGACAGUGGGUUAGGGUAUGAAACAGACAGACAGUGGGUUAGGGUAGGAAAUAGACAGUGGGAUAGGGUAGGAAACAGACAGUGGGUUAGGGUAGGAAACAGACAGACAGUGGGUUAGGGUAUGAAACAGACAGACAGUGGGUUAGGGUAGGAAAUAGACAGUGGGUUAGGGUAGGACACAGACAGACUGUGGGUUAGGGUAGAAGACAGACAGUGGGUCAGGGUAUGAAACAGACAGACAGUGGGUUAGGUAAGGAAACAGACAGACAGUGGUUUGGGUAUGAAACAGACAGACAGUGGGUUAGGGUAGGAAACAAACAGACAGUGGGUUAGGGUAUGAAACAGACAGACAGUGGGAUAGGGUAGGACGCAGACAGUGUGUUAGGGUAUGAAACAGACUGACAGUGGGUUAGGUAAGGAAACAGACAGACAGUGGUUUGGGUAUGAAACAGACAGACAGUGCGUUAGGGUAGGAAACAGACAGACAGUGGGUUAGGGUAGGAAACAGACAGUGGUUUAGGGUAUGAAACAGACAGACAGUGGGAUAGGGUAGGACGCAGACAGUGUGUUAGGGUAUGCAAUAGACAGACAGUGGGUUAGGGUAUGAAACAGACAGACAGUGGGUUAGGGUAGGAAAUAGACAGUGGGAUAGGGUAGGAAAGAGACAGUGGGUUAGGGUAGGAAACAGACAGACAGUGGGUUAGGGUAUGAAACAGACAGACAGUGGGUUAGGGUAGGAAAUAGACAGUGGGUUAGGGUAAGACACAGACAGACUGUGGGUUAGGGUAGGAAACAGACAGUGGGUCAGGGUAUGAAACAGACAGACAGUGAGUUAGGGUAGGACAAACAGUGGGUUAGGGUAGGAAACAGACAGACAGUGGGUUAGGGUAGGAAACAGACAGACAGUGGGUCAGGGUAGGAAACAGACAGUGGGUUAGGGUAUGAAACAGACAGACAGUGAAUUAGGGUAUGAAACAGACAGACAUUUAGUUAGGGUAUGAAACAGACAGACAGUGAGUUAGGGUAGGAAACAGACAGACAGUGGGUUAGGGUAUGAUACAGACAGACAGCGGGUUAGGGUAUGAAACAGACAGACAGUGGGUUAGGGUAUGAAACAGACAGACAGUGAGUUAGGGUAGGAAACAGACAGACAGUGGGUUAGGGUAUGAUACAGACAGACAGUGAGUUAGGGUAUGAUACAGACAGACAGUGGGUUAGGGUAUGAAACAGACAGACAGUGAGUUAGGGUAGGACAGACAGUGGGUUAGGGUAGGAAACAGACAGACAGUGGGUUAGGGUAGGAAACAGACAGUGUGUUAGGGUAGGAAACAGACAGACAGUGGGUUAGGGUAUGAAACAGACAGACAGUGAGUUAGGGUAGGAAACAGACAGUGGGUUAGGGUAGGAAACAGACAGACAGUGGGUUAGGGUAGGAAACAGACAGACAGUGUGUUAGGGUAGGAAACAGACAGUGUGUUAGGGUAGGAGACAGACAGACAGUGGGUUAGGGUAUAAAACAGACAGACAGUGGGUUAGGGUAAGAAAUAGACAGACAGUGGUUUAGGGUAUGAAAUAGACAGACAGUGGGUUAGGGUAGGAAACAGACAGUGGGUUAGGGUAGGAAACAGACAGACAGUGGGUUAGGGUAGGAAACAGACAGUGGGUUAGGGUAUGAAACAGACAGACAGUGGGUUAGGGUAGGACACAGACAGUGAGUUAGGGUAUGAAAUAGACAGACAGUGGGUUAGGGUAUGAAACAGACAGACAGUGGGUUAGGGUAGGAAAUAGACAGUGGGAUAGGGUAGGAAACAGACAGUGGGUUAGGGUAGGAAACAGACAGACAGUGGGUUAGGGUAUGAAACAGACAGACAGUGGGUUAGGGUAGGAAAUAGACAGUGGGUUAGGGUAGGACACAGACAGACUGUGGGUUAGGGUAGAAGACAGACAGUGGGUCAGGGUAUGAAACAGACAGACAUUGGGUUAGGUAAGGAAACAGACAGACAGUGGUUUGGGUAUGAAACAGACAGACAGUGGGUUAGGGUAGGAAACAGACAGACAGUGGGUUAGGGUAGGAAACAGACAGUGGGUUAGGGUAUGAAACAGACAGACAGUGGGAUAGGGUAGGACGCAGACAGUGUGUUAGGGUAUGAAACAGACUGACAGUGGGUUAGGUAAGGAAACAGACAGACAGUGGUUUGGGUAUGAAACAGACAGACAGUGUGUUAGGGUAGGAAACAGACAGACAGUGGGUUAGGGUAGGAAACAGACAGUGGGUUAGGGUAUGAAACAGACAGACAGUGGGAUAGGGUAGGACGCAGACAGUGUGUUAGGGUAUGCAAUAGACAGACAGUGGGUUAGGGUAUGAAACAGACAGACAGUGGGUUAGGGUAGGAAAUAGACAGUGGGAUAGGGUAGGAAAGAGACAGUGGGUUAGGGUAGGAAACAGACAGACAGUGGGUUAGGGUAUGAAACAGACAGACAGUGGGUUAGGGUAGGAAAUAGACAGUGGGUUAGGGUAAGACACAGACAGACAGUGGGUUAGGGUAGGAAACAGACAGUGUGUUAGGGUAGGAAACAGACAGACAGUGGGUUAGGGUAGGAAACAGACAGUGGGUUAGGGUAUGAAACAGACAGACAGUGGGUUAGGGUAGGAAAUAGACAGUGGGAUAGGGUAGGAAACAGACAGUGGGUUAGGGUAGGAAACAGACAGACAGUGGGUUAGGGUAUGAAACAGACAGACAGUGGGUUAGGGUAGGAAAUAGACAGUGGGUUAGGGUAGGACACAGACAGACUGUGGGUUAGGGUAGAAGACAGACAGUGGGUCAGGGUAUGAAACAGACAGACAGUGGGUUAGGUAAGGAAACAGACAGACAGUGGUUUGGGUAUGAAACAGACAGACAGUGGGUUAGGGUAGGAAACAGACAGACAGUGGGUUAGGGUAGGAAACAGACAGUGGGUUAGGGUAUGAAACAGACAGACAGUGGGAUAGGGUAGGACGCAGACAGUGUGUUAGGGUAUGCAAUAGACAGACAGUGGGUUAGGGUAUGAAACAGACAGACAGUGGGUUAGGGUAGGAAAUAGACAGUGGGAUAGGGUAGGAAAGAGACAGUGUGUUAGGGUAGGAAACAGACAGACAGUGGGUUAGGGUAUGAAACAGACAGACAGUGGGUUAGGGUAGGAAAUAGACAGUGGGUUAGGGUAAGACACAGACAGACAGUGGGUUAGGGUAGGAAACAGACAGUGGGUUAGGGUAGGAAACAGACAGACAGUGGGUUAGGGUAGGAAACAGACAGUGGGUUAGGGUAUGAAACAGACAGACAGUGGGUUAGGGUAGGACACAGACAGUGGGUUAGGGUAUGAAACAGACAGACAGUGGGUUAGGGUAGGAAACAGACAGACAGUGGGUUAGGGUAGGAAACAGACAGACAGUGGGUUAGGGUAGGAAACAGACAGUGGGUUAGGGUAGGAAACAGACAGACAGUGGGUUAGGGUAGGAAACAGACAGACAGUGGGUUAGGGUAGGAAACAGACAGACAGUGGGUUAGGGUAGAAGACAGACAGUGGGUUAGGGUAUGAAACAGACAGACAGUGGGUUAGGGUAUGAAACAGACAGACAGUGGGUUAGGGUAUGAAACAGACAGACAGUGGGUUAGGGUAGGAAACAGACAGACAGUGGGUUAGGGUAGGAAACAGACAGACAGUGGGUUAGGGUAUGAAACAGACAGACAGUGGGUUAGGGUAGGAAACAGACAGUGGGUUAGGGUAGGAAACAGACAGUGGGUUAGGGUAGGAAACAGACAGACAGUGGGUUAGGGUAUGAAACAGACAGACAGUGGGUUAGGGUAGGAAACAGACAGUGGGUUAGGGUAGGAAACAGACAGACAGUGGGUUAGGGUAGGAAACAGACAGACAGUGGGUUAGGGUAGGAAACAGACAGACAGUGGGUUAGGGUAGGAAACAGACAGACAGUGGGUUAGGGUAGGAAACAGACAGUGGGUUAGGGUAUGAAACAGACAGACAGUGGGUUAGGGUAGGAAACAGACAGACAGUGGGUUAGGGUAUGAAACAGACAGACAGUGGGUUAGGGUAGGAAACAGACAGACAGUGGGUUAGGGUAUGAAACAGACAGACAGUGGGUUAGGGUAUGAAACAGACAGACAGUGGGUUAGGGUAUGAAACAGACAGACAGUGGGUUAGGGUAUGAAACAGACAGACAGUGGGUUAGGGUAGGAAACAGACAGACAGUGGGUUAGGGUAUGAAACAGACAGACAGUGGGUUAGGGUAUGAAACAGACAGACAGUGGGUUAGGGUAGGAAACAGACAGUGGGUUAGGGUAGGAAACAGACAGACAGUGGGUUAGGGUAUGAAACAGACAGACAGUGGGUUAGGGUAUGAAACAGACAGACAGUGGGUUAGGGUAGGAAACAGACAGUGGGUUAGGGUAGGAAACAGACAGACAGUGGGUUAGGGUAGGAAACAGACAGACAGUGGGUUAGGGUAGGAAACAGACAGUGGGUUAGGGUAGGAAACAGACAGACAGUGGGUUAGGGUAGGAAACAGACAGACAGUGGGUUAGGGUAGGAAAUAGACAGACAGUGGGUUAGGGUAGGAAGACAGACAGUGGGUUAGGGUAGGAAACAGACAGACAGUGGGUUAGGGUAGGAAAGACAGACAGUGGGUUAGGGUAUGAAACAGACAGACAGUGGGUUAGGGUAGGAAACAGACAGUGGGUUAGGGUAUGAAAUAGACAGACAGUGGGUUAGGGUAUGAAACAGACAGACAGUGGGUUAGGGUAGGAAACAGACAGUGGGAUAGGGUAGGAAACAGACAGUGGGUUAGGGUAGGAAACAGACAGACAGUGGGUUAGGGUAUGAAACAGACAGACAGUGGGUUAGGGUAGGAAAUAGACAGUGGGUUAGGGUAGGACACAGACAGACUGUGGGUUAGGGUAGAAGACAGACAGUGGGUCAGGGUAUGAAACAGACAGACAGUGGGUUAGGUAAGGAAACAGACAGACAGUGGUUUGGGUAUGAAACAGACAGACAGUGGGUUAGGGUAGGAAACAGACAGACAGUGGGUUAGGGUAGGAAACAGACAGUGGGUUAGGGUAUGAAACAGACAGACAGUGGGAUAGGGUAGGACGCAGACAGUGUGUUAGGGUAUGAAACAGACUGACAGUGGGUUAGGUAAGGAAACAGACAGACAGUGGUUUGGGUAUGAAACAGACAGACAGUGUGUUAGGGUAGGAAACAGACAGACAGUGGGUUAGGGUAGGAAACAGACAGUGGGUUAGGGUAUGAAACAGACAGACAGUGGGAUAGGGUAGGACGCAGACAGUGUGUUAGGGUAUGCAACAGACAGACAGUGGGUUAGGGUAUGAAACAGACAGACAGUGGGUUAGGGUAGGAAAUAGACAGUGGGAUAGGGUAGGAAAGAGACAGUGGGUUAGGGUAGGAAACAGACAGACAGUGGGUUAGGGUAUGAAACAGACAGACAGUGGGUUAGGGUAGGAAAUAGACAGUGGGUUAGGGUAAGACACAGACAGACAGUGGGUUAGGGUAGGAAACAGACAGUGUGUUAGGGUAGGAAACAGACAGACAGUGGGUUAGGGUAGGAACGACAGACAGUGGGUUAGGGUAGGAAACAGACAGACAGUGGGUUAGGGUAUGAAACAGACAGACAGUGGGUUAGGGUAGGAAAUAACAUAGACAGACAGUGGGUUAGGGUAGGAAACAGACAGUGGGUUAGGGUAUGAAACAGACAGACAGUGGGUUAGGGUAUGAAACAGACAGACAGUGGGUUAGGGUAGGAAACAGACAGACAGUGGGUUAGGGUAGGACACAGACAGACAGUGGGUUAGGGUAGAAGACAGACAGUGGGUUAGGGUAUGAAACAGACAGACAGUGGGUUAGGGUA